CAAUAGCGUAUAUUAAAGUUGUUGCGGUUAAAAAGCUCGUAGUUGGAUUUCUGCUUUGGACGGCGGGUCCGCCCUCCGGGCGUGCAUCUGUUCGACCAAGGCAUCCUCCAGCAGCUUGCGCUGCACUUCAUUGUGUGGCGCGAGGGGCUGGACCUUUACUUUGAGGAAAUUAGAGUGUUUCAAGCAGGCUGAGCCUUGAAUACGCUAGCAUGGAAUAAUAAGAUAGGACCUAAGUUCUAUUUUGUUGGUUUCUAGAGCUUGGGUAAUGAUUAAUAGGGAUAGUUGGGGGCAUUCGUAUUUAACUGUCAGAGGUGAAAUUCUUGGAUUUGUUAAAGACGAACUACUGCGAAAGCAUUUGCCAAGGAUGUUUUCAUUGA
rnacentral:rRNA from 1 species